rnacentral:rRNA from 1 species
GACGAACGCUGGCGGCGUGCUUAACACAUGCAAGUCGGACGGUAAGGCCCUUCGGGGUACACGAGUGGCGAACGGGUGAGUAACACGUGGGUGAUCUGCCCUGCACUUCGGGAUAAGCCUGGGAAACUGGGUCUAAUACCGGAUAGGACUCCGGACUGCAUGGUCUGGGGUGGAAAGCUUUUGCGGUGUGGGAUGGGCCCGCGGCCUAUCAGCUGGUUGGUGGGGUGAUGGCCUACCAAGGCGACGACGGGUAGCCGGCCUGAGAGGGUGACCGGCCACACUGGGACUGAGAUACGGCCCAGACUCCUACGGGAGGCAGCAGUGGGGAAUAUUGCACAAUGGGCGCAAGCCUGAUGCAGCGACGCCGCGUGAGGGAUGACGGCCUUCGGGUUGUAAACCUCCUUCAGCACAGACGAAGCGCAAGUGACGGUAUGUGCAGAAGAAGGACCGGCCAACUACGUGCCAGCAGCCGCAGUAA